rnacentral:rRNA from 1 species
GAUGAACGCUAGCGGCAGGCCUAACACAUGCAAGUCGAGGGAGAAGCCCUUUCGGGGGCAGAAACCGGCGCACGGGUGCGUAACGCGUAUGCAACCUACCUUUCACAGGGGGAUAGCCCGAAGAAAUUUGGAUUAAUACCCCAUAAUAUUAUUGGAUGGCAUCAUUUGAUAAUUAAAACUGCGGUGGUGAAAGAUGGGCAUGCGUCCUAUUAGCUAGUUGGAGUGGUAACGGCACCCCAAGGCUACGAUAGGUAGGGGUCCUGAGAGGGAGAUCCCCCACACUGGUACUGAGACAGGGACCAGACUCCUACGGGAGGCAGCAGUGAGGAAUAUUGGUCAAUGGUCGGAAGACUGAACCAGCCAUGCCGCGUGCAGGAAGAAUGCCUUAUGGGUUGUAAACUGCUUUUAUAUGGGAAGAAUAAGGUGUACGUGUACAUNGANGACGNUNCCA